GCACCCGUAGCUCAGCUGGAUAGAGUACUGCCCUCCGAAGGCAGGGGUCACAGGUUCGAAUCCUGUCGGGUGCACCA
rnacentral:tRNA from 23 species